AGAGUCGAAGCUUUACAGCUAAGAUUUCUUCGAACAUCUGUUUGCAAGCAUACGUUCGGCCUUCACUGGUUGGCUAUGUAAGCAAGCGCUUUACCUUGAGAAAAUUAGAGUGUUCCAGGCAGGCUUCAGCCGGAAUACAUUAGCAUGGAAUAAUGGAAUAGGACUGGGGACUAUUUAUUGGUUUGAGGCUCCAGUAAUGAUUAAUAGGAACAGUCGGGGGCAUUGGUACUUAACAGUCAGAGGUGAAAUUCUUGGAUUUGUUAAAGACUAACUAAUGCGAAAGCAUUUGCCAAGCAUGUUUUCAUUAAUCAAGAACGAAAGUUAGGGGAUCAAAGACGAUUAGAUACCGUCCUAGUCUUAACUGUAAACGAUUCCAUCUUAGAAUUGGGUAGAAUAUUUGAUGAUUCAUCCAGCGCUAUAAGAGAAAUCAAAGUCUUGGUUCUUGGGU
rnacentral:rRNA from 1 species